UCCCAUCAGAACUCCGAAGUUAAGCGUGCUGAGGCGAGAGUAGUACUAGGAUGGGUGACCUCCUGUGAUGUCCUCGUGUUGAAUUCC
rnacentral:rRNA from 1 species